rnacentral:misc_RNA from 1 species
AACGACCAAGCGCUGUUCGGCCGCCAAACU